UCGGGUAAUACUGAGCCUUCGGCCUCUUCCUCUCUUCGUCCUCGUUCACCCUCUGUGUCUGUACUAAGACUCUUCUGCCACCUGCUGGUUUUCUGUCCAUACUUCAUCUCUACCAUCCUGCUGCUGUUGAUCUGCUGCAGCAGGAAAUGAGGUAACAAACAUGAUGUAUCCAUGGAGAUGACCGAGGAAGAGGAUUGAAGCUGCAACAUUUUCAGUGUUUCAGUGAUUUCUUUUUUUAAUCUGUUGCAUUGAUGCGUGUGGGGUUUUUUAAGGUUCAUGAUUACACUAAAAAAUCAAACAUUUGUGAAAUAUGAAAAAACUGGGCUAAUAUAGGUGCAUUUAUGUUUGUUAUAUGAUUUAUAAUUAUUGGUUGUAUUUGUAUUAAAGGAAAUUCAGAUCAGCA